rnacentral:rRNA from 1 species
UACGGGGGGGGCAAGCGUUGUUCGGAAUUACUGGGCGUAAAGGGCUCGUAGGUGGCCAACUAAGUCAGACGUGAAAUCCCCAGGCUUAACCUGGGAACUGCGUCUGAUACUGGAUGGCUUGAAUUCGGGAGAGGGAUGCAGAAUUCCAGGUGUAGCGGUGAAAUGCGUAGAUAUCUGGAGGAAUACCGGUGGCGAAGGCGGCAUCCUGGACCGAGAUUGACACUGAUGAGCGAAAGCCAGGUGAGCAAACGGG